rnacentral:rRNA from 1 species
CCAUACCACCCUGAACACGCCCGAGCUCGCCUGAUCUCGGAAGCUAAGCAGGGUUGGGCCUGGUUAGUACUUGGAUGGGAGACUACCUAGGAAUACAGGGCUAGAGAGA